AGGUAGCCCUAAAUAAUUAACAAU
rnacentral:siRNA from 1 species